AGAGUUUGAUCAUGGCUCAGAUUGAACGCUGGCGGCAGGCCUAACACAUGCAAGUCGAGCGGUAGCACAGAGAGCUUGCUCUCGGGUGACGAGCGGCGGACGGGUGAGUAAUGUCUGGGAAACUGCCUGAUGGAGGGGGAUAACUACUGGAAACGGUAGCUAAUACCGCAUAAUGUCGCAAGACAAAGUGGGGGACCUUCGGGCCUCAUGCCAUCAGAUGUGCCCAGAUGGGAUUAGCUAGUAGGUGGGGUAACGGCUCACCUAGGCGACGAUCCCUAGCUGGUCUGAGAGGAUGACCAGCCACACUGGAAACUGAGACACGGUCCAGACUCCUACGGGAGGCAGCAGUGGGGAAUAUUGCACAAUGGGCGCAAGCCUGAUGCAGCCAUGCCGCGUGUGUGAAGAAGGCCUUCGGGUUGUAAAGCACUUUCAGCGGGGAGGAAGGCGUUAAGGUUAAUAACCUUGGCGAUUGACGUUACCCGCAGAAGAAGCACCGGCUAACUCCGUGCCAGCAGCCGCGGUAAUACGGAGGGUGCAAGCGUUAAUCGGAAUUACUGGGCGUAAAGCGCACGCAGGCGGUCUGUCAAGUCGGAUGUGAAAUCCCCGGCUCAACCUGGGAACUGCAUUCGAAACUGGCAGGCUAGAGUCUUGUAGAGGGGGGUAGAAUUCCAGGUGUAGCGGUGAAAUGCGUAGAGAUCUGGAGGAAUACCGGUGGCGAAGGCGGCCCCUGGACAAAGACUGACGCUCAGGUGCGAAAGCGUGGGGAGCAAACAGGAUUAGAUACCCUGGGUAGUCCACGCCGUAAACGAUGUCGAUUUGGAGGUUGUGCCCUUGAGGCGUGGCUUCCGGAGCUAACGCGUUAAAUCGACCGCCUGGGGGAGUACGGCCGCAAGGUUAAAACUCAAAUGAAUUGACGGGGGCCCGCACAAGCGGUGGAGCAUGUGGUUUAAUUCGAUGCAACGCGAAGAACCUUACCUGGUCUUGACAUCCACAGAACUUUCCAGAGAUGGAUUGGUGCCUUCGGGAACUGUGAGACAGGUGCUGCAUGGCUGUCGUCAGCUCGUGUUGUGAAAUGUUGGGUUAAGUCCCGCAACGAGCGCAACCCUUAUCCUUUGUUGCCAGCGGUUCGGCCGGGAACUCAAAGGAGACUGCCAGUGAUAAACUGGAGGAAGGUGGGGAUGACGUCAAGUCAUCAUGGCCCUUACGACCAGGGCUACACACGUGCUACAAUGGCAUAUACAAAGAGAAGCGACCUCGCGAGAGCAAGCGGACCUCAUAAAGUAUGUCGUAGUCCGGAUUGGAGUCUGCAACUCGACUCCAUGAAGUCGGAAUCGCUAGUAAUCGUAGAUCAGAAUGCUACGGUGAAUACGUUCCCGGGCCUUGUACACACCGCCCGUCACACCAUGGGAGUGGGUUGCAAAAGAAGUAGGUAGCUUAACCUUCGGGAGGGCGCUUACCACUUUGUGAUUCAUGACUGGGGUGAAGUCGUAACAAGGUAACCGUAGGGGAACCUGCGGUUGGAUCACCU
rnacentral:rRNA from 1 species